rnacentral:ncRNA from 2 species
CAACGUGCUCCGGGGUCGGUGAAAGUCCGAACCGGCGGUCACAGUCCGCGACCCGCUCGCACCACAGCCGCCUGAGGCGGCUAAGGGUGCGGCGGCUGAGCCGGUGGAAUCCCGGCACCGACGGUGAAAGUCCGGAGGGGAGGAUGCGCGU